rnacentral:rRNA from 1 species
GACGAACGCUGGCGGCGUGCCUAAUACAUGCAAGUCGAGCGAGCUGAAUUCAAAGGUUCCUUCGGGAUGAUUUGUUGGACGCUAGCGGCGGAUGGGUGAGUAACACGUGGGCAAUCUGCCCUAAAGACUGGGAUACCACUUGGAAACAGGUGCUAAUACCGGAUAACAACAUGAAUCGCAUGAUUCAAGUUUGAAAGGCGGCUUUUAGCUGUCACUUUAGGAUGAGCCCGCGGCGCAUUAGCUAGUUGGUGGGGUAAAGGCCUACCAAGGCAAUGAGACGUAGCCGGGUUGAGAGACUGAUCGGCCAACUGGGGACUGAGACACGGCCCAAACUCCUACGGGAGGCAGCAGUAGGGAAUCUUCCACAAUGGACGCAAGGCUGAUGGAGCAACGCCGCGUGAGUGAAGAAGGUUUUCGAAUCGUAAAGCUCUGUUGUUGGUGAAGAAGGAUAGGGGCAGUAACUGGUCUUUAUUUGACGGUAAUCAACCAGAAAGUCACGGCUAACUACGUGCCAGCCGCCGCCGUAA